GGAGGGAGUAAUGAUUUACCAAACCAACAAGGCAUUUACACAGAAAAUGUGACAAGUCAUGUUUAAAUAUCCUUGUAGUAGUUAUCAUAAUUAACAGAUUUUACCCAGAGAUAAUUUCUAAAUAAGUCAGCUAGACAAGGUAGAGGAGAGAGAGAGGAAUGGAUGACACAAGUAAUUGACCCAGAAAGGUUCACAAAACAAAAUACCUUUUGCAGCUGGUAAUCCAAAA
rnacentral:misc_RNA from 1 species